AGUUUAACUCAAAAAUAUAACUCAACUCUAACAUAUGAUAACUCAAAGUUAAAAUAAAUAAAAAACUAAAUUUAUUGUAUGACUGAUAAUAUUUUUGUGUUAUCGAUAAAUUAGAUUUCUAAUUCAAACUAAACCAACAAUAACACAUGCUACCAAUCAAAGUCUAUACUUCUAAAGUUUAUAUGACUUGAAUCAAAGCUUGAUUAACUUUGUUGCCUGCAAAUACCCGUUCAAUUAGGAAAAAAAUGUAAGAGUUUGUUAAGGUAGCUAAUUAAUACUAUAUUCAAUGUUUAAAAGAUUGCGGUUAAUCAUUCGCGACCGCAACCACUUGGUCUAUACAUGAGUUUGAAUUUGGUCAGACACUACGGGUGUGAUUCAAUGGAGCUCUAUAACAACUCUGAAAAGUCUUAACUACUAUCAUUAACAUUAUCUUCCUAUAGUAAUAGUGUUGAAUCAUGGUCAGAACCAUAUUUGACUUUCCCAAGGAUGGAGGAUACAUAAUGGUGUCUCUUUGUGAUUUGAUUUUAUACACUGUGUGUAAAAAAGCAUGUAUCUACAAUCCCACCACUAAACAAAGCUUAACCUUAUCCAUCAUCAAAUCCAACAUAUUUGCUAAACAAGAACCUAAUAAGCAUGUUAACUACUUUUUCAGACAUGAUCAUGUUCAUGAUCAGUACAUAAUAGUUUGUGGUAUUCUCGAAAGAUCGUGAGAAGAUAACCACCAAUUAUUGGGUCUUCGUACUAGAACCUGUAAGUUUUUGGAAAAGAAUUGAGUAUGAUGAUUAACCUCACCUUCCUACAAGACAAGGACUCUCCAUAAUUAGGUUUUGUUGAUUUUUAUAUGAACUUUUUCACAUCAUAUGUAACUUGUAUAUAGUUGUUAGAAAUAGUUUUUCUUUAACAAUUCUCAAUUCUUAGAUUAUGAGUUAUUUUAGUUGGCCGGUGGUCUAAGUUCAUCAAACAUAGUUUUUCUUUAACAGUUAUCUUGGAAGCAGAGGAACGAUCUUAUUCACAACCAGAUAUAUUCCUGCUUCCUCUGUGUUCCUUUGGAUCAAUAGAGAGAUGAAAAAUAUAAUCUCAGCUAGGAGACAGAUCAAAUCUUUAUCCUCGUUUAUGGUUAUGUGGUUACGUUAAGCUAGUGCUUGUAGAUUUAAAAUGGUGAUUCAUUUUGUUUUUUCUUUAAUUUUGCCAAAAUGGCUUAGACUUAUCUUUUUGUAAAAUAUUUUAUUCAUUUUUACGAUAUUUACAAUUUAGCAAAAAAAUAAGUUUUCAAACAUUAGAAGCACCAAGAUAUCCCCUCAAGAAUCGACUAAUAUGUUCACAGAGAGUCAAAGACAGCUGAUAGAAUCGCUUGUCGGGAUAGUAGAAUCGCUUGUCGACUUAAGAUUUACUUUUGGUAAAGUGAGGAUCUGAAACUCUUUGGACUUUUCGAUCAUGCCGCUACAACUAUACCAAGUUAUUCAGAAACAAUCAAGUGACUCAGCACGCAAAUAAAAAAUGGUUUUUUCAAAAGCUUCUUUAGUCUCCACAAAACAACCUAAUUUUUUUCAACAAAAGAAAUGUUCUACAAAUCCACUCUUAGACCUUGAACUCGAGACGCAAUGAAAUUAUAUUAUAGCCUAUGCGAAGCAACUGACAAAGCGGCGUCGUAUUUCUCACCAUAGCAUAGUUGACUUUGUCAGAAACGCGAAUCACACACGGUACCUUUCAACGCGUUUACGUUGACUUGUCAAAACACAGAUCAGCGUAUUGGUCGUAUUUACUCUUAUCGAAGAUCUAAGAACACUACAAGAAUAAAGCUCACACUCCGACGGUAGUAUUCAUCGGUAGUUAGUAGGUAAUGGGUAUUUCCCACUAUUUUCCGACAAUCCAACUUUAGUCGGAGUUUGGCUCUCGGUAAAUACCAUUUGUCGGAAAGUAGUCGAUAAAUUCCGAUAAAAAAUAUCCUCGGAAGCAUUCGUUGGAAGUUGGUCGAAACGUCCCGAUAUAGUUCCGAGAAACAUAUUCCUAUAAACUUCCGACAAUUUAAUAUUUUGAAUUAAAAAAACAAAAAUGAAAUAAAAGAAAUUUAAAAUAAUAUGAUAUUUAUCAAAAAUUCAUUAGCAAUAAAGAAAUUAAAUACAAAAGUUCUAAAAACUAAAAUAAAAAGAAACAGUAACGGCAGUGGAAGAACUUCAGGCGGGCUAGUUUACGGUGCGGCGGUGGCGGUGUAGACUGCGGCGUUGACGGUGCUAGAGUAGAGUGUAAUGAUGUUGGUGUAAUGCACGAAGUGGCCGUGAUGGUGGAGUGUGAGCAGCAACAGCAGUGGAAGGAGUUACGAUGAUGGCGUAGGUGGGUGAGCGGCAACAGCAGUCGAAGGAGUUGUGAUGAUGGCGGCGUAAGCAGUUCAAGCAGUGGUGAUUUAAGGAAUCUUUUGGUAUUUUUUCAAAAAAACAGAGAUCUGACAGAAACGAAAAGAAAGAGACCAUGCAAGAAGGAAUAAUGAGGAAACGAAGAGAAUAAAUUGAAUGAUGAAAAUGGAAAAUAAUUAAGAGAAGAAAAGGAUAGCGGAGAUAGGAUUUUAGAUGCAGAUCUGGAGAGGAAGAAGAAAAUGACAGGGUAGAAGAAAGGAAAAUAAAGACUGAGACAGAAAAAUAAAUAAAUAGGAAUAUUAAUAUACACGCACAUUAAGUGGAUAUGGACUUUCGUGGACUAGAAAUAUUAUUUUUUUAUUGCGAAAUAUUAUAAUUAUGUAUUGUAUCUUUUAUUUCUGUAUGUAUCUUUUUUACUAAAUUGCUUUGAAAGUCCCGAUGACCAUUGCUCUGAAACUUCCGACGACUAUUGCUCUGCAGAUUCACCCGACCAAGAUCAAACGACGACAAAUAUAACUUAAUUUUAGAACUGUCAAUUUUCCGAUGAUAUCUCAUCCAACUACCGAGAAAGCUCAUAUGUCGGUAUAAUUCGAGAUUAUUCCGAUAAAUUUACCGAGGUUUUUAUGAGAUUAUGUGUUGUCGGAACAAUCCAAGCAUCUUCCGAUGAGUUUUCCUACAAAUUACCGAGAAUGCAUGGUUCUCGGAAAAUCCCGACAAGUUUUUCCGAUAAGAUACUGAGAAAACGGGUUUGUCGGAAAUUUUCAAGCAUCUUCCGACGAGCUUUCCGAAUAAUUACCGAGAAUGCAUGGUUCUGGGAAAAUUCCAACAAGAUUUUCCGAGAAGAUACUGAGAAAACAGGUUUGUCGGAAAAUAUUGACGACUUUACGAUGAAUUUUCGCCUUUCUCGAUAAAUUCUCGCUACACCAUCGAAAAUUUUGUGACAAUUCAUGUUGUCGGAACUUUUUUUUCGGAGUACACAACGUUUUCUUGUAGUGGAAGAAUACAAAUGUAAAUCGUUCUUAUUCCUCAGUCAGAAUCGGAAUGGGGAACUGUCACUCAGCUUCCGCCGAGCAGCUUGAUCCUAUUUCAGCGGAAGAGCGUGUGAAAAGUCUUCACGGUGGCGGAGCUGAAGAAAGCAACUAAGGAUUUUAGCAAGGAGAUGGUCAUAGGAGAGCACUUUGGCAGCCAUGUCAGGGGAUAUAUCAAUCCCAAGACUGGAAGGGGUUGGCAUGGCCGUGGUGGUUAAGAGAUUUUACAUGUUCAAGGAUCUUGAUCAAGAUUUGCAAGAUUGGCUUGUUGCCGGUUCGUUGUUAUAACGUGAACCACGUGGAGGGUUUGUUUGCCACAGUAACAAUCAGAUGUAAUAGGGUUCGUUGUGGAGCAGUCUUGAGCAUAUAUGAGGGAGGAUAUAAAUCAAGAGUAGUGACGAACAGAUGUGAGGGAGAUAGAAACUCUGUUAACAUAACGGCGAUCUGAAGAUGAUAGCCAGAUUUCCUAUUCCGAUUGUAUUGUUUUCCAUACCACAUCACGUAUGUGGAAUGGUUUAUUGUAAGUUCAUUUACAAUGGAGUGAUGGUGUUCUUAGUUUUAGAACCGUGAUAAGGUGCAUGGUGAAAGUAAAAUACGAAAUGGUUUACAUAAAGUCAAACCGAGUUCAGUAAAACCGUCCAAUUUAUACGACGAGACUUUCCGUUUGACAUGAGUCAGAUGGAAUGUAAUAUAUACUAUGAACGUAAAUAGAUACAUGGGAAGAAUUUUCUUUCCAUUCCACAUGAACUACAUAAGCUAGAAUAGUUGUAUGCACAUGACCCAAAAUAACCACUUACGUAGACGCUGAUGUGUGCGGUUGUGCAUAGAUGAUGACGCAAAUCAAACACAACGUACUGGUGGUUGGGUUAUAGAACAAAAGAUAGAAACGGAGAAUAAGAAGAACAAGGUACACACUAUCAGGACGGAACAAAACAUGUCCAAAUAUGUAGUCAUUUUGUAUUGGUUUGUUCGAUGAAAUAGAUGCGAAGACAUGAAGCAGUACAGAAAAUAUAGGUUUGGGCAUGUGUAAUAGACGUACACGUGGAAGUCGGGCAGGGACAACCAAAAACUUUGAAUGAAACAGCAUGUUAUAAAGCAUCCAAUUUAUAUGGGGGUAGUUUCCAUUCGAUAUGACUAACGUAGAAUAGAACCCUGUUUGUAAUUUACUAAUAUAAUCACGAACAAAGCCGGUGAAGUGUGCGGUUGGGGAGAGGCAAUGAUGUAUUUAGUGCAAUAAAUUUGCAAUUGUGGGUUACAGCUCUUCCGUAUUUAAGAGUAGGAGAAAGCCACAUACAAAAGGUAGAUUUACUGAAGAUAUUUUUACUGUGGAGAGAGGUAAACGAGUGGUGGAAAUUAGUACCGGUAAUCUUAAAUGGUGUAUUCAAAGAAAACCAUAAAUGGUGUAUUCCAUAUAAUAAUCACUGUAAAUCUAUGUGAAGAAACUCAGAAGCAACAAAGUACUCAGAAGCAACAAAGUGAAGGAAUUUAAAAAUUCACCGCUUUGAAGAAAGGAGGAGGUAAUUUCGUGUGCGAAUAUUCUAAUAAACCGGGUUACAUAGGAAAUUUACUCUUUUGUGAUAGAAUAAUACUAUUCUGAAUCUGUAAUGGAAUACAUUUUAAAAUAUAAAUGGAUUUCCACUUACUUCUAACUGCAGAUGAAUAGCGAAGACUUCUAUACUAUAUACAAUGUAUUAUUUAAAAUGAUACUAUAUGCAUACUAGAGCCAAGAUUGAGCAACAUGAAAUACAAAGCUAAUAGGAAUGGUAAUAGAACACUUAACAGUAAACACUAAACCCAAGAUAAGGAAAUAUAAAUCCAAUCCAUAGGCAACCCAAAUCUCCAGGCAAUUAAAUCCACCUGCCAUAAUACUGGAGACAUAUAUUUACAUUCCUCAUGAGCCACAUGAAAUACAAAGCUAAUGGAGAUGGUAAAGGAACACUUGAUAGUAAACACUAAACCUAAAUUAGAGAAAUAUAAACCCCAAUACAUAGGCAACCCAAAUCUUUAUGAAAUUAAAUCCACAUGCCAUAAUACUCGAGACAUGUAUUUACAUUCCUUAUGAGCAACAUUAAAUAAAAAGCUAAUAGGACUGGUAAUAGAACACUUGACAUUAAACAUUAAACCCAAGUUAGGGAAAUAUAAAUCCCAAUCCGCAACCCAAAUCUUCAGGAAACUAAAUCCACCUGCUAUAAUACUAGAGACAUGUAUUUACAUUCCUCAUUAGCCACAUGAAAUACAAAGCUAAUGGAAAUAGUAAUAGAACACUUGACAGUAAACACUAAACCCAAGUUAGGUAAAUAUAAACCCCAAAACAUAGGCAAACCAAACCUUCGGGAAAUUAAAUCCACCUCUUAUAAUACUGGAGGUAUGUAUUUACAUGCCUUAUGGGUAACAUGAAAUACGAAGCUAAUGGGGAUGAUAAUAGAACACUUCUCACUAAACACUAAACCCAAAUUAGGAAAAUAUAAAACGCAAUACAUAGGCAACCCAAAUCUACAACAAAUUAAAUCCACCUGCCAUAAUACAUGAGUUAUCUAUUUACAUUCCUCAAGAGACAUGGAAUAUGCAAUGGGUUAAGACAUAGUAUAAUACAUAGUAUAGUAUAUAAAUAGUAUGGUAUAUAAAUAGCAACGCCUACACAUCAGAUAUGAACCCUUCACCUCACGGUGAGCGUCCCGUAUUUCUUCACAAUUGAGGUCCGUUACAGAAGCAAAGCUUGUAUAGCAUAACAAAUUGGUUUCCCCACGAAGAGCCACCAGAGUUCGAAGUCCUUCUCAAGAACCAACUGUCGUGCAAGAAAAUAAUGAAGAAGCAUAACAGAGAAGGUAUAGGACCCCAUCUGCAAGACUUGUCCAAACUGUGACGCAUUCAACAUCGCCAGGUCCUCAUCCUCUAAUGCAUUCUUUAUCACUUCAGUCCAACGAAGAUUGAAUUAGUUGUUAAUUCUUUUCUUGCCAGUGGGUUCAAAGCAUGUCUCUAACAAUCUACUUGGACUAACUCGUCCAUACCAAACCUGUAGAAUGAAGUAAGAGAGGCAAAAAGUCAGGACGGUGGGAAUUAUAAUAUUGAAUAUAGAUAUAAAGUAGCACUCUAAACAGAAUAAGUAUAGUUAACAAAUGGAAAUGCAUAAGAUAUAAAACUAUGAUUCCAUAUAAGAUAGAAUAAUGUGAAACUAUAACUUUCUUAUAUUCCAUGUGACAGAUACUAUUCCACAAAAUCAUCAUUAUUCCACAAUAAGUGUGCUAUAUACAUAUAAACAUAAUAAGUGUGCUAUAUACAUACGUGGAAUCAGCUCGGGCAGAUACUAUUCUACAAAAUAAUCACUAUUUUUACACUAUGUACUAUCCAUAGCUGAUACAAAAUCCCAAUUCAAGCAUAAGAAAGAAGAAGAGCAUCAGAGGGAAAUACAAUCGACUAUAAAUUGUAGAAGCCAAUUUACCUACCAGAUCUGACAUUCACCAUAGAGAAGAUUGUAUAUUUAUCAGUGAGAGAGACAAACAAGUGUAAUGCCAGAAAAACAAUGAUAUUCUGUGUAAUUCAAAAGGCUGACAGACUAAACAAAACGAGCAAACACACAAAGCAUAAAUCAAAAUGACAAUACAAUAAAUACAUUACAAAAAAGGAAAGACCAGACAAGCAAAGCAGAAUAGCAAGUGAUACUAUCUUAAGUGAAAUAGUUCAAUUCGAUACGAAUACUAUUUCAUUUCAAAUGGACUCGAGUUUAUAAAUAUCAUAGUAUGUCUACUUAGUGAGCAUUUGUAAGCUGUGAUAUUCUACACAUCUUCCCCUAAAUUACUACACUACUUAUUUUGCAGCACUGACACAAAGAUAAUUCAAAUUAAAAGAACCCUCACACAACCCGGAAAAACCCAAACCCUAAAUCAAAUUGGAAAAGGCCGAUGAGAGGGAUUAAUUCUGUAACGGUACCGAUGGUAUGCAACAGGAACGAUGAUACUAUUCUAAAUGGAAUAGAUGAAUUAGAUAAGUAUACUAUUACAUCCCAAAUGGAAUGGAGGUUUUAAAUUAGAUAAGUAUACUAUGAGACGAGCCCAAAUAAAAGAAAAUAAACACAGAGGAAGCAAAGACGAAGAGAAUCGACGGAAACGAGGGAGAAUUUACAAAAUUUCAGAGAUCUGAGAAGAAUCGAGUUGGUGAAGUUGGAUAGGAAGGGUGUGUUACUAACUGCCGCUGAAACUCUAACGCGGAACCCUAACGUCGAACACGAUUGAAAGGAAGCACGAAGAAGAUGGAAAAGCUGUCGAUUGAAGGUAGAGGGGAGGAUUUGGAGGAAAUCGGUGCCGGAAACCACUCGACCUCGAAAAAGUUAUCAACAAAAGUGAAAAGGGAAUUGUGAAUAGAGGUAAGACACGAGAUACCUUUUAUGCGGUUAAUAAUUUAAUUUUUAAUUAAUUUUGGUAGCAGGUUGGCCAGUUGAGUUUAAAGGGUAUUACAGUAUUAAUAUGUAUAUAUAACUCCGUGUAUAGAAACGUUAGGGAAAAUAGUUAUUGUGUGUAUUAUGGAUUUUUUCAUGUCUAUAGGCCCCAAUUUCCCAAAAAAAAGCUCAUUGGCUAUGGUUCGGAUCGUCGUACGUUGUUCAUUGUUGCUGAAUACUUUCCAAACGGAAGCUUAGAAAAUCACAUCUAUAGAGAGACUCGUCCAAAGUCAUUGCCCUGGGAGACGCGACUUAACAUAUCCAUAGGAGUGGCUCAGUGUCUUGCUUUCUUGCACUCUUGGAAGAAAACCAGUCUCUCUCGCAGAUAUCUCACGGCUUCUAAAUCCUGCUCGAUUUGGAGUUCAACGCAAGAGUUUCCUAUUUCGGACUCAAAAGCCUACCUUACUUUGAAGAAGGGACACACGUCCCCUCGUUAGAUUACGCACCUCCCGAAUACAUAUUAUCAGGCAACAAAUUUCCCCUUGCUCCUCCCCAAAGUUUUUUAAAU